rnacentral:rRNA from 1 species
UUUUUUUAGCCUGCUGCGGGAUCGAGGGAGGCGGGCGCCCAGCGGGCGAGGGAGCGCGGGGACAACGAGGGAGGAGCUAGGGCUAGACCUAGCUCCCCUGCUCCUCGAGGACGGAGGGGCUGCCGGCUGGAGGAGGAGCGGGGCGGCGACGCAGGCCGCGGCGGUGCCGGAGACCUCGGUCCCUUCGGUACCGGACUCGAGCCGGAGCUCCAGGGGCGGCGGCAGAGGACGUCGAAGACGGGGCGGCGGAGUGGCGGGCUCGAGCGGCAGCGUGGUUGGAGCCGCGGCGCGGCGGCGGCCGAGACCAGCGGAGGUGGAGGCGCGGUACUCCUUGGGCGGUGUGCGCAGUUCCGCUCCGCGGAGGACCCGAGGCAGGCAAAGGUCUCGCUCGCGGGCGCUUAUGGAUCGAUCGGCGGCGGCAGCACUGGCAAGGUCGGUGGCGGUUCCGGUGUGAAGGAGAAGGUGGAGGCGCAUGAGGACCAACGUCGGGGUCGAGAAGUGCCCGUCCCUAGACGCCGAGCGGCCGCACCGGGCACCGUCCCCUCUCUUCCCCCCGUACUAGCCGCCCCGUCUCAAGAAAGCCUUCCUGUCGCACCACCCGUUGUACCUGCCUAUGGAGUUGAUGGACAGGGAGCUCAUACUGAAGCAGAGCCUGUGGUUAGGACGAACCCAUAGAAGUAAAACCUUCGUCCUUAGGAAAGGAGUAUUCUACCUACUCGACAUCCUAAACUAAGACAAGUCGAACUUAAUCAAAAAGUAGUAGUACAAGAAACAUAAUCCUUAAGUACGGAAGGUCGAGAUUAAAAAAGCGUAACAACCACAUACGACCCUCAGUGUAAUAAUACGACGAUCGUUUGUCAUCCUAACCUUCAGAAUGAGACAUCCAAUCAUUAUAGAAAAGGUGAUAUGGCUCCAAGUCGUUAAAUUAAGCAUAAUUCCAGUGUGUUCGUCAAACCAAAAGUCUAAACAGAACUGUUUGUAUAAACCAAGUCGUUAAAUUAAGUAUAAUUUCAGUGUGUUCGUCAAACCAAAAAUCUAAACAGAACUGUUUGUAUGAAACGUCUAAUAGGAGUGUAUACUUUAACUAAAGACGUUCAAGGAAAGUGAAGAAUAAAUAAAGAAGUGAACCAAUACUACAUGUCGAUAAGCAAAAGUACUAUUAAGUACGCAAAACAUCAAAAGUGACUGUCUUAGAACAGAACUUUGUUCUAACCAAGGGUAACAAUGUCACUUCAUCGAUGGUUCGUCGCUCCGGUAGCUCACUGUACUCUGGCGCCCUGCCGUACUCUUCUUCGUCCCCCACAGACCGCCCUACCUCUUCUGGUGUCCCUUCACACCGCUACCUCACGUUAGGGCUUCUUCUUCUUGUAACGUUUCUUCCUGGGACCGGUUCACGGUGGGUUAAGAGAAAGUGGCUGGGUAGAUUACCGGUAGUUAAGUUAACCAGGUUCGACAACACAACUGGAAGGGUAACUAGGUGAUGUAGGAGCGGGUCGACCAAGACGAUACAAAGAAGAGGUACCGCAACGACCAACGGCCGCACGGACUGUAGCGCGGAAUACACUGCACUGUACUACGAGGAGAUGCACAAGAAGAGUGGGGCCAAAGGUACUCCUCUCUACAACAAGACACCAAGACAUCAAGAUGAGGUAUCGUUACUACCUCAGCGGAGGUAUACCUAUAGUUAAUAGAGCCCUAGUACUCUCGACAGAUGCGUUGCCGGUCCCCCGUAUACGAAGAGGAUCGUGAUUCUGGAAGUAGGAUAAACUCGGUCUUACCGAAACCACGGGAGAGAGUGAGUACCACUCCGGCACUACCUCAGCGGAGGUAUACCUAUCGUUAAUAGAGNNNNNNNNNNCCAAAGGUACUCCUCUCUACAACAAGACACCAAGACAUCAAGAUGAGGUAUCGUUACUACCUCAGCGGAGGUAUACCUAUCGUUAAUAGAGCCCUAGUACCACUCCAAUGAUUGAGCUGGGAAACAAACCGAGACAAGCACACCUAGAUAAGUACACGUAGACAUUUGAAAUAAAUCCAUGUUCAUAACAAGAUCGCGAACACAAAUAAUAAAAACAUUUUUAUUCUAAAUAACUAGAGUAAUUUAACUCCAAAAUACAAGUGUACUUUAAGAUUGACUUAAACGAUAAGUCGACUGUUAAGGUUGUUAAAAAACAUAACAUAAACGUACAGCUCUCGACAGAUGCGUUGCCGGUCCCCCGUAUACGAAGAGGAUCGUGAUUCUGGAAGUAGGAUAAACUCGGUCUUACCGAAACCACGGGAGAGAGCGAGUACCACUCCGGCACGUACGAACGGUACAACACCGAUGCUUUAGAGUCUGACUCAGCGAAGCCAGCCCGUGAUAAGUCCCCUUAUAAACAAGUCUUAGAAGUCAGAACAUUAAAAGAGGAACUACUGUUACUGGUACGACACGACCCCCUAAACCCUAAGGUAGGAACGACAAACCUGAAGGCGACGGUUUAGGUCUAGAAUAGGUUUCUGAACCCUGAGGUUUAAUGUACGGGGUCUUGUAACCGCUGGUCUGUAGUCUCCGGGUUAAUCAAUGCUCUGACUGAGUAACCCCAAAGCGAACCUCGUAAGAACUCUACAAGUCACCGCAAGUCUGAACCACACGGUUUAGUGGUCUACUCUAAAUAGUCAGUCAACAGGACUUCUUUCUCUUUGGCUACAAGGAUAUGUUAAAUGGAUACCUCCAGCGAUUACAGGAGAGACCGACGAUACUCAUACUUAAAGCCCUAGUGAGGAACUACAAUCUAUAGAAUGUCAGUAAACUUUCCAACCUCCACUGUGUACUUGCGACCGUUACGUUUUAUCGUCUAUAUUUUAUUGACGUCGAGUCCGGUACAUCAAGAUGUUGUUGGUUCCUUCUUCAGGCAAAAAAUUCGGCUGGAACCGGUUCGUAAAUUCGAAUAUACCAACGAGAGAUAAAAAGUCUCCACGCACAUGACUCCUGCGGGUACUAAAUCCCGGUUUUUAGAUCUGUUUCACUGUUUUGAAACAUGCUCUGAAUGAACUUCGGUUCCUCCAGUCCCCUCCUCCUGUUGUUCCGACCCCUCGCCUCCGCCUCCGACUGCCCCUUCUCUUACUAGUUCGUACAUUUAGAUCUCGUGUUCGAGCACUAAAUAGUUCCCUCACCGCGACGGCGGCCUAAUCUUUUAGUAUAGAGUGCAAUUCCACAAAAACAGAAAACAAAGACAUGUUUAAACCACGUCCGUUCAAAAACUACUAUAUAUAUUCUACUGAUCGUAAUAGAAAAAUAACUCACGUACAAGACCAUCGUAAUAGAUGAAUCUUUUUUAACGAUAUACGCACAUCACUUAUUAUAGACAUCCGC